AGUGAGGAAUAUUGGUCAAUGGAGGCAACUCUGAACCAGCCAUGCCGCGUGAAGGAUGAAGGUCCUCUGGAUUGUAAACUUCUUUUAUAAAAGAAGAAACCCCAGAUUUCUAUCUGGGUUGACGGUACUUUAUGAAUAAGCACCGGCUAACUCCGUGCCAGCAGCCGCGGUAAUACGGAGGGUGCAAGCGUUAUCCGGAUUCACUGGGUUUAAAGGGAGCGUAGGUGGGCUGGUAAGUCAGUGGUGAAAUCCCCGAGCUUAACUUGGGAACUGCCAUUGAUACUAUCAGUCUUGAAUACUGUGGAGGUAAGCGGAAUAUAUCAUGUAGCGGUGAAAUGCUUAGAUAUGAUAUAGAACACCGAUAGCGAAGGCAGCUUACUACGCAGUUAUUGACACUGAGGCUCGAAAGCGUGGGGAUCAAA
rnacentral:rRNA from 1 species